GGAAAAUAUAAAUGGCGGACAGGUGACAAGAAAGUUCGUAAAAAGUAAAUUUAUUGUUUUAUUCAAAAGUUGUACAUUAUUUAAAAGGAUAAGGGUCUUCAUCAGCUACUGUAGCAUUUAAAGGUUAAUUGUCGAUUGUUUAAUUCAUUUUAUAGCUUGAAUUUAUAUCUAACCUAGAUAUUGCGAGUGUGAAAGUUUAAAAAAAAAAUGUAUUGAUCUGUGACUGUGAAGCAAUUCCAACAUGUUUUGAAAAACGAAGGAAGCAAACCAAAAUAUUUGUAAGUAGACGCACACAGUGUUUGUUGUUAUCCAUGUGUGACAAAAGAAAAUCAAUCUACAGACUUUUUUGGGUUUAAAUAGGGGGCUUGGUGUCUAUUUACACAAUAAAUAAAGGUCCAGUUCGGCAGUUGAUUUUUUGCAAAACUAUGUUCUCUCCUGUUCAGUUCAUGGUUGCUCACUGUUACGAUAUAACAAUUUUCAUAUUAAAUAAAGGUUUAAUUGUAAUUAAGUUAGUGUAAGGCCAAAAAUAUAUAUACAUAUAUGUCUGUUUACCAUAAUUUACCUGACCUGACCCUAUUUUGAGCGCCGACCCUUAGUCAUUUUAUUUCAGUCGUAAAGUGAAAAAUAAACUGAACUCUUGUUAAAAGUGAAGAUAGUGUUGCCUGAUACAUCCAAUUGUUCAUAAUCAUGAAUAUGAUAGCUGUUUUAAGGAAAUUCGUGACUCGUGUGAUGAAAUAAACAUUUUGCCGCCAUUUUUUCCAAACAAUAUUAACGGGAAAUAAUCCAAUCAUUAAAAAUACAGGUAAACUCGGCCCAUGGACAACUCGGACCACGGCGAGAUGGACCGCACAACUCAAAAUCAUGGCGCAAAAAAUAAAAUGGAAAUACCAACCUACCAACCCUAUUUAUUUUGAUGAUGUACAUGUAACCUUAAACAGACAAAUAUUUUUUUUUGGCCUAAUGUUUAAUAACAAAAACAAGUUUUGUCUUCAUUGUUUCAAAAUAAAGUUAUCUACUUAAAAUGUAAGCGGCAAAAUGUAGUAGGUUUCCUCGUAUUUGUGAGAUAUUUUGACAAAAUAAAUCAUGGAUAUAUUCAUGAUGAUCAAUGGACAAGGGCAAGUUCAUUCAUCUAAGACAUGAUAAAACGUUACUAGAAAUAUUAAGGGUAACUUCACUAAAGCUAUAGUUAUAAUAACAAUAAUUUUUAAACACAACAAUAAUACCAAAAUUUGGCAAAAAUGGGGUGCAAAGGUGUUGAUAUAGGGGGGGGGGGGGGGGGGGGUGCUAGGAGGGGUCCCUAUCCCAAAAUCCUGGUCUUAAAAACAUGAAAUCCUGAUGUCCCCAAUUAAAUUUAAUUUAAAUUCAGUCAUCCCGUAAUUCGAAAAAGAAUACCUGGAUCCCGAAAGGGUAAAUCCUGAGCUUAAUAACACCCGAUCCCGGAGUCCCAAUAAAGGUCCUAUCUACAUCAAUAUAGGAGCGAAUGGGCCAAAUAACUUGGAAGUUUUGUGCUUUUUUAAAGUCAUCAGUCUUGAUUUUAACAUGUUCAGAUUUCAGAAUUGAAGACUUAUUAUGCAACUUAUAAUAUUGAGUUUUUAUGAUUUGCAGAUUAUGCACCAUUUUAAUAUUUUCCUUUAAGAUUGAAAAAGAGUGGUUGAACAGCUACAUGUUCAUCUGCAUGUAUUUAAUUUGAAAUAUAUAUAUACACACUUGCUUAAACAUAAAGUACCUUUGUAAAUCAAGAUCUAUAAUGAACCAGAUUACCAUAUAUGAAUUAAUGUGGUUAGAUAAUAUAUCAAAUUUAAGCAGUUACAUGAUAUGUAAUUACAGGUAGGAAAGUAUUGUCAGUUUUUUAUGCAACUGAAAGUGCUUUGUUGUAUACUCUCCAAUAUACAAUGAUAUAGGAGGCUAAUAACAAAAAAUACAAGCUGUGUAUUGACAUCAAAGUGGAUUCCGAUACUUAUUUGGAAUACUUCAUGAAUUGUUUCUUUUUCUUUCCUAAGGCAAUUUUGAGGACAAGAAAUGUUGAUUGAGUUGUGUGAUAAGGUGUCUGUUUAAUUAUUUAAUAUAACACCUCUGAUAAUAUAUAAUUGACCUUAAAUUAGUAUCUUGAAGUUGUUGAAAUAAAGAAAUGAUAGAUUUACUUAUUACAUUUGAUCCACAUGACUAACAAUUAUUCUGUAAAUUAUGUGUCAAAGAUGUAUGAUAAAGGACUAAUAAAAAUGCCAGGAAGGUCAAUUUUACUUGAAAAAUCAAGUGUCAUAAUCAUCUUAUGAAUUAAAAUCAAUAAGGUAGAUUUAUAUUAAAAGUUACUAUUAAUAUUAACUUGCUUGAAACAAUAAACAAUUAUGAACUACACUAACCUGAGCUUUUUCUACAAUAUGUACUACAAAUUUUUGUGUGAAUUUUUUAUUGCGUUCCAUUCUUUUCGUUGUAUAAAAUAUAUUUUUUCAGAAACAAAUGUAUUUUAGAAUUAAAAAAAAAUCUGUUGUCACUGAACGAAAACUAUGUUAUUCUUUUAUGUAGCAUAAUCAAAACAUGAGUCCAGUUAGAAAUGACUGGACCUCAUCAAGUUUUACUGAAUAUAUGUGCCAAUCUCAGAUAAACUUUCUUUAUAACCUUUGUUUGUUUUGUACCAGUUCUAGAUCUAUUAUUAGUUAGAACUGGACUUGUGUCAUUUCACUCUGAACUAAUUUUAAACAAGGUUUACAACUUGAAGAAUAGAGGUUAAAAGGUUAAGUUUACUCCCAGUAAACAGAACCUAUUGUAUUCAUUAUCAAUACCCUGAUGUUUGUAUCACAGAUUUAUAUAAUAGAUUAUUUAACUUAACAGUCUCAAGUUUAUUUUGAAACUUUUGAUAGUCUAUAUGUUCAGUUUACCAAAAAUGAUAGAACUUUAUAAAAUUUGUAGAUAUAUGUACAUGUAAGCUUAAGGUGGACUAUUUUCAUUUGUAAGUAUUUAAAAAUAAAACCUGUAACCUUUUUAAUAACACAGUGGUUUUGGUAAUUUAUGUCAUUGGCAAUGUCAGAUUAUGUCAAUAUACAUGUAGUCUUGUUCUAUAAUGAUAAUGUACUGGAUAUUCAUUAUUAUUCAUUGGAAACCAAUUUUCAGGGGUUUCGUGGGUACAGGUGAACCACAAAUUCAAAUGCUCAAUGAAUUAAAUAUCUUUAAAAAUCUUUGAACACAUGUACAGCAAUGUACUGCUGAGAUUGGCAAAACCAUGAAAUCAAAUAUUUACUGAAUUUUCGGCUCUCCCUUGACACCAUUUGCGAGUAUGGUCUUGAGGAAACGAUGAUAGUCCGUCGGAAGGGGACGAUAAAUGGCUGACCCGUGUUAAGAGAGAGCCAUAUCUCUUGCACGUUAGAGACACCCUUGUAGAUUUCGAAAAAGAGCAGGCUAAUGCCGCUACAAGGCAGCACUCGCAACCGCUAAGUGGAAAGGGAUUAAUAUAAGUUGCAAAACUUGUUUCCCGAUCCACUAUAAAUAAAUAUGUUUAAAUUAAAUAUUCAUGAAAUUGCAACAUUUGUUAUUGGGCAAGCUGAAGGACGCCUCUGGGUGCGUGAGUUUCUCACUGCAUUGAAGACAUAUUGGUGACCUUCUGCUGUUGUCUGUUCUAUGGUCGGGUUGUUGUCUCUUUGACACAUUCCCCAUUUCCGUUUUCAAUUUUAAGUUUUCAGCAAUGAAAUAAAAUAUCCACGAAUAUGCAAGUUUUCAGCAAUGCACGAAAAUUUAUUCCCAUGAAAAUAAAUGCAUCCACAGACUACAGUAUACAUGGUAUAUAUAAAUGUCCUUAUUAAUAUUUAUACUCUGAAAGUUAAACGUCUCUUCUCUCUCUCUUGAUUGAUGAUUGCUUUACGCCACCUCAGCAUAAAUUGGCUAUAUAACAUUGAGUCUUCUACAUAGAUAUGAACAUGUAUAAAAUCUAUACAUUACAAUCUUUAUUUUCCAUCAUAUUGUAUCAUAAAGGAACUCAAUAUUCAUUUUUCCUUUAUUUUUUUUAUUUUUUUUUUAAUGUUUUAUACAUUAUUUAUAAUGUUUUGGUUUUCUUGGAAAACUUGUUGUUUUAGUUGAGUAUGAAAUGUGUUGGUUAAAAGCUGACUAUAUAUAGUUAGAGUUUAUUAUUUUGUGUUUGUUUGAUUUGUACCAUGCCAACUCCAAGUAAAACUUAUUAAAUAUUAUUAUUUAUUUACAAUAUUUUAUGGUUGCUUUUGCGGGAACAAUUCAAUUGUUGAUAAUAGGAAAUUAUUAAUUAACUGAGGUAAUCAAUGAAUUGGCUAUUUAUCAGUGCAAACCGGGAGACUCUGUUUCUUACAGAUAAUACCCUGACAACUAUUUAGAUUGGUUGUUCAUAAAAAGUUAUUAAAUUAUUAAUGAUUUCAGUCUUUUGAUACUUCGACACAGUGCCUGUAGAUUAACAAUUGAUUCUAACUGUGAUUAAUUCUGAAGUAGAAAGGUCUUUCAACUCUAAUAAGACAUACAAGUUUUUCAAUUGAAGCGUUUCAUUCCCUGAAUAGAAUAUUUGAUUGAACGCUCAGUUGUAGUUCUUUAUGUUAGACGUGCUGGAGAUUCUACAUUAAUACUUUAACUUUAAUUGAAUUCAAGAAAGAUGUAUUAACAGUCCUACAUAUAACUUUUAUUGUAAAGGUUUGAUUGGGGUCAGAUAUACAGUUGCUCUUUCAGACAUUUGUAUUCCCCUCGCUCAUUUUAAUUUGUAAUAUGCUCAUUGAGGUGAAUGUCAUCAACAAGCAAUUUUUUUACCAUUUGGACAAACUCCUCAGGACUUCAGCGUAUUAUCUUUUUAAGCCCCUCGUACCCUUAGUAAGCCUAUCAGUUCUGUGGAUCAGUUCAUUAGAGCCCUCAACAAGAUUUUUGGCUCCAUAGGGAUAUCCAUACAUCCUGAAGACCUGUAAAUUCAUGUGUAUCUUUCUGAACAACUCACUGACUUUUAAAAAGAAUUGUCCUCACCUUCAGAUUUUAUGGUUAUUAUUUGACUUUAAUAUACCUACAAGCAGUUAUUUCCCUUUAGAACAAUAGGUCAUCUUUUGAAGAAACAGCCUGGAUGAUACCUAGUUCUUUAUUUAUCCCAACUCAAAUGCAAUGAUAAAGCAAUUGAUUCAUCAUAUAGAAGCCUUGUGUUGUUGCCAAUAGGGCAUUUUCUGCACUAUUUUCCAUCUUCAAUAUUCUUGUAAGGUUUGAGACAGAAACAAUCCAAUCUUUAUAGGUUGAAAUCUAAAGUCAAACUAGAACCAGAAAACAUCUUUAUGGCACAAUUUAACCUUUGAAACAAAUAACUUGAAGUUCUGCUAAUUUAUCACUUCAAUAAAGAGGGGGGAAGGACCUUUUCAGGACUCCUGGAUUGGAUGUUUUUAAGCUCAGGAUGUCGGGAUUGAUCCUUUCGGGAUGCGUGAAUUUUUUUUUUCGAUUUCGGGGUUGGCAGGAUUUAAAUUUCUUAAAAUUCGAGACCUCAGGAUUUCAUGUUUUUACGUCUGGAUUUUGGAUCAGGACCGCUCCCUAUUAAAGGGAAAAUUAUAUGAGAUAAAGUUAAAUAAUAUUCUGUUCUGAUUUUCAGUCUUUUAGGAAAAGUGUAUUGCCAGGCAAAAGAGAGAAAACAAUUUUAAGCUUGGUUUAAAUGGUUGGUGUGGAAAAUGGUAGUGGUCAUAAAUAGUUACAUAUAACAUAGAUUGCUAUCUGGCAAUAUGAAAAACUCAAUUAAAAUGCACUAGGAAAAAACUGGAACCGUAUUUGGCUAAAGAACUAUUGAUUGAACCUGUAUCUUUAAUACCAGGGUUUAUAAUGUACUUUUUUUUAUAUACUUUUACAGAAUGUCGGAAUGUUACACGCAGUGUGGCUAGACUAUAAUACAUGAUAUGUGAUGAACAAGUACGAAAUAUUAGGAGUCGUAGGCGAAGGUAUGUAAUUUGAAAGAUUGAAAGAUUUAGAGAUGAAGACAGUCUUGACCUCAUAGUUAAGGUGAUCAUGUUAAGUUUUUGUGAUUAGGUCAGUUUUUCAGAUACUAUAAGUAAUAUUAGAUGUCUUUGAUGAAUAAAAUGAAUGUAAUUCGUAAACGUCCAUCUGACAGAGUUGACCUUAUUUUCACCGUUCAUUGGUCAAUGUAAUUAAAUCUGUUUCUCAGAUGCUCUAAGUAAUAGCUAUAUUUGAUAAGAAUGAUUAUAAUGUGUAAUUGUCUGUCUCACAGGAUAAAUACAACCUUGACCUUAUUUCAUGGAUAACUUCUAAUAUAAAGUUAUUCCUGUUGUAAGACUUUGAUUUGAAAAAAAGUCAUAGUAAAACUAAAUCAUAAUCAGUAAAGUAACCUAGUCUAUAUAUUUCAGCAUGUGCACUCUUACUUUUUUUGUUAUUAUGGAAAUUGUAUUUUUAUGGUUUCCUCUGAAUUGGUAAUAUAUUGGUUAACUUAUUGUUGUAGGAGCCUACGGAGUGGUACUGAAAUGUCGUCACAAGG
rnacentral:lncRNA from 1 species